rnacentral:lncRNA from 1 species
GAAACAUUAGGAGAGGAGAAAGAAUCCAUAAAGAGUUUGAAGUUUACUUGAAGAACAACAUCAGAGAAGAGAUGUAACUAUGUAAGUCUUACGUUAUUGGUGACAAAAAAGAACUUCAACCUAAUUCGACCAGAUGUAUAUUUGUCACAUGCACAAAUUUCUGUUGGGUCAUGCUUCAUCGCAUUGGUGAUUUAAUUAAUUAUUUUAUUUCUGUUUCUUCAGGAUGGUGCUGACAUCUUAGACGAAGGACAAUACCGCUUAGAGGAUUAUUGACUGCACUCCAUUCAGUUAAAUCAUCGCCCGUAAGUACCCAUUAAAUUAAUACCUCUUGUUAUUUCUGCGUAGUGAGUUAACUCAAGCUAUUGUCGGCUGAUUUGCCUUGAGGGAUUAUUGGGAAAACACAAUGCUUCAGGCUGAAUCUGGCUGGGUAUUUCACAUGGUUUAUUCAGGGUGAAAGAAUUCUUUAAUACUUUUCAGACAGGUGAAGGCCGUCAUCCUUACUGGGCUGUGGUUGUUGUCUCGACGUUCAAGAUGAGAGCAUCUAUCUUCAAAUGAAUGUUGACUUAUAUAACCAGAUGAAUAUAUCCACGGGAAAGAUCGAACAAAUUUAAAAACAAUGUGAACAACAGAAACCUCCUCCAAAGCUACAAAGACAGGAUUCUAAAACAGAGAAUACAGAUACUUGCAACACAUUAAGAUUGAAGUUUGACACCUUUGACAUCCGAGAUAUGUUAAUGAAUAACUAACGCAGAAAAUCGAAGCAAAAAUAUACUUGAAAGCUGGAAUUCAAGGAAAAAUACAGUAUGAUCUACAAAAUCAAGUACCGAUAGACUUAAACGCGAAUGAUGAGAAGACUAUUACAACUUUGAAAAAAACCUUGAUGAGGUAAGAAAAAGUUUAAAAAUUCAUGGUUUGCUGUUUGCUAUCAUCAGUAUUUCGAGCUGAAUGCUCAAACAUUAUUGAGGUUUUCUAGGACUCUUUGUCGCUUGUCGAGGCAGGAAAAGUGCAGUCCCCAGACAUAAAAUUCUGUUUCAAAAUGCACCAGACAACCCACCAGAACUCUCUACAAUUUUGUUUGCAGAAGCAAGGAAAGAGUUCGAUAAUUUUUUCAAACAGUUUGUAUAUGACAUCAUCAGUUGUCUACUUUCUCACUUUUUUAUAAAUAUUUUCUUGCUUUGUUUUAAAGAAACAUUAGGAGAGGAGAAAGAAUCCAUAAAGAGUUUGAAGUUUACUUGAAGAACAACAUCCGAGAAGAGAUGUAACUAUGUAAGUCAUACAUUAUUGGUGACAAAAAAGAACUUCACCCUAAUUCGACCAGAUGUAUAUUUGUCACAUACACAAAUUUCUGUAGGGUCAUGCUUCAUCGCAUUGGUGAUUUAAUUAAUUAUUUUAUUUCUGUUUCUUCAGGAUGGUGCUGACAUCUUAGACGAAGGACAAUACCGCUUAGAGGAUUAUUGACUGCACUCGAUUCAGUUAAAUCAUCGCCCGUAAGUACCCAUUAAAUUAAUACCUCUUGUUAUUUCUGCGUAGUGAGUUAACUCAAGCUAUUGUCGGCUGAUUUGCCUUGAGGGAUUAUCGGGAAAACACAAUGCUUCAGGCUGAAUCUGGCUGGGUAUUUCACAUGGUUUAUUCAGGGUGAAAGAAUUCUUUAAUACUUUUCAGACAGGUGAAGGCCGUCAUCCUUACUGGGCUGUGGUUGUUGUCUCGACGUUCAAGAUGAGAGCAUCUAUCUUCAAAUGAAUGUUGACUUAUAUAACCAGAUGAAUAUAUCCACGGGAAAGAUCGAACAAAUUUAAAAACAAUGUGAACAACAGAAACCUCCUCCAAAGCUACAAAGACAGGAUUCUAAAACAGAGAAUACAGAUACUUGCAACACAUUAAGAUUGAAGUUUGACACCUUUGACAUCCGAGAUAUGUUUAUGAAUAACUAACGCAGAAAAUCGAAGCAAAAAUAUACUUGAAAGCUGGAAUUCAAGGAAAAAUACAGUAUGAUCUACAAAAUCAAGUACCGAUAGACUUAAACGCGAAUGAUGAGAAGACUAUUACAACUUUGAAAAAAACCUUGAUGAGGUAAGAAAAAGUUUAAAAAUUCAUGGUUUGCUGUUUGCUAUCAUCAGUAUUUCGAGCUGAAUGCUCAAACAUUAUUGAGGUUUUCUAGGACUCUUUGUCGCUUGUCGAGGCAGGGAAAGUGCAGUCCCCAGACAUAAAAUUCUGUUUCAAAAUGCGCCAGACAACCCACCAGAACUCUCUACAAUUUUGUUUGCAGAAGCAAGGAAAGAGUUCGAUAAUUUUUUCAAACAGUUUGUAUAUGACAUCAUCAGUUGUCUACCUUCUCACUUUUUUAUAAAUAUUUUCUUGCUUUGUUUUAAAGAAACAUUAGGAGAGGAGAAAGAAUCCAUAAAGAGUUUGAAGUUUACUUGAAGAACAACAUCCGAGAAGAGAUGUAACUAUGUAAGUCAUACAUUAUUGGUGACAAAAAAGAACUUCACCCUAAUUCGACCAGAUGUAUAUUUGUCACAUACACAAAUUUCUGUAGGGUCAUGCUUCAUCGCAUUGGUGAUUUAAUUAAUUAUUUUAUUUCUGUUUCUUCAGGAUGGUGCUGACAUCUUAGACGAAGGACAAUACCGCUUAGAGGAUUAUUGACUGCACUCGAUUCAGUUAAAUCAUCGCCCGUAAGUACCCAUUAAAUUAAUACCCCUUGUUAUUUCUGCGUAGUGAGUUAACUCAAGCUAUUGUCGGCUGAUUUGCCUUGAGGGAUUAUCGGGAAAACACAAUGCUUCAGGCUGAAUCUGGCUGGGUAUUUCACAUGGUUUAUUCAGGGUGAAAGAAUUCUUUAAUACUUUUCAGACAGGUGAAGGCCGUCAUCCUUAUUGGGCUGUGGUUGUUGUCUCGACGUUCAAGAUGAGAGCAUCUAUCUUCAAAUGAAUGUUGACUUAUAUAACCAGAUGAAUAUAUCCACGGGAAAGAUCGAACAAAUUUAAAAACAAUGUGAACAACAGAAACCUCCUCCAAAGCUACAAAGACAGGAUUCUAAAACAGAGAAUACAGAUACUUGCAACACAUUAAGAUUGAAGUUUGACACCUUUGACAUCCGAAAUAUGUUAAUGAAUAACUAAGGCAGAAAAUCGAAGCAAAAAUAUACUUGAAAGCUGGAAUUCAAGGAAAAAUACAGUAUGAUCUACAAAAUCAAGUACCGAUAGACUUAAACGCGAAUGAUGAGAAGACUAUUACAACUUUGAAAAAAACCUUGAUGAGGUAAGAAAAAGUUUAAAAAUUCAUGGUUUGCUGUUUGCUAUCAUCAGUAUUUCGAGCUGAAUGCUCAAACAUUAUUGAGGUUUUCUAGGACUCUUUGUCGCUUGUCGAGGCAGGAAAAGUGCAGUCCCCAGACAUAAAAUUCUGUUUCAAAAUGCGCCAGACAACCCACCAGAACUCUCUACAAUUUUGUUUGCAGAAGCAAGGAAAGAGUUCGAUAAUUUUUUCAAACAGUUUGUAUAUGACAUCAUCAGUUGUCUACUUUCUUUUUUAUAAAUAUUUUCUUGCUUUGUUUUAAAGAAAUAUUAGGAGAGGAGAAAGAAUCCAUAAAGAGUUUGAAGUUUACUUGAAGAACAACAUCAGAGAAGAGAUGUAACUAUGUAAGUCUUACGUUAUUGGUGACAAAAAAGAACUUCAACCUAAUUCGACCAGAUGUAUAUUUGUCACAUACACAAAUUUCUGUAGGGUCAUGCUUCAUCGCAUUGGUGAUUUAAUUAAUUAUUUUAUUUCUGUUUCUUCAGGAUGGUGCUGACAUCUUAGACGAAGGACAAUACCGCUUAGAGGAUUAUUGACUGCACUCCAUUCAGUUAAAUCAUCGCCCGUAAGUACCCAUUAAAUUAAUACCUCUUGUUAUUUCUGCGUAGUGAGUUAACUCAAGCUAUUGUCGGCUGAUUUGCCUUGAGGGAUUAUUGGGAAAACACAAUGCUUCAGGCUGAAUCUGGCUGGGUAUUUCACAUGGUUUAUUCAGGGUGAAAGAAUUCUUUAAUACUUUUCAGACAGGUGAAGGCCGUCAUCCUUACUGGGCUGUGGUUGUUGUCUCGACGUUCAAGAUGAGAGCAUCUAUCUUCAAAUGAAUGUUGACUUAUAUAACCAGAUGAAUAUAUCCACGGGAAAGAUCGAACAAAUUUAAAAACAAUGUGAACAACAGAAACCUCCUCCAAAGCUACAAAGACAGGAUUCUAAAACAGAGAAUACAGAUACUUGCAACACAUUAAGAUUGAAGUUUGACACCUUUGACAUCCGAGAUAUGUUAAUGAAUAACUAACGCAGAAAAUCGAAGCAAAAAUAUACUUGAAAGCUGGAAUUCAAGGAAAAAUACAGUAUGAUCUACAAAAUCAAGUACCGAUAGACUUAAACGCGAAUGAUGAGAAGACUAUUACAACUUUGAAAAAAACCUUGAUGAGGUAAGAAAAAGUUUAAAAAUUCAUGGUUUGCUGUUUGCUAUCAUCAGUAUUUCGAGCUGAAUGCUCAAACAUUAUUGAGGUUUUCUAGGACUCUUUGUCGCUUGUCGAGGCAGGAAAAGUGCAGUUCCCAGACAGAAAAUUCUGUUUCAAAAUGCACCAGACAACCCACCAGAACUCUCUACAAUUUUGUUUGCAGAAGCAAGGAAAGAGUUCGAUAAUUUUUUCAAACAGUUUGUAUAUGACAUCAUCAGUUGUCUACUUUCUCACUUUUUUAUAAAUAUUUUCUUGCUUUGUUUUAAAGAAACAUUAGGAGAGGAGAAAGAAUCCAUAAAGAGUUUGAAGUUUACUUGAAGAACAACAUCCGAGAAGAGAUGUAACUAUGUAAGUCAUACAUUAUUGGUGACAAAAAAGAACUUCACCCUAAUUCGACCAGAUGUAUAUUUGUCACAUACACAAAUUUCUGUAGGGUCAUGCUUCAUCGCAUUGGUGAUUUAAUUAAUUAUUUUAUUUCCGUUUCUUCAGGAUGGUGCUGACAUCUUAGACGAAGGACAAUACCGCUUAGAGGAUUAUUGACUGCACUCGAUUCAGUUAAAUCAUCGCCCGUAAGUACCCAUUAAAUUAAUACCCCUUGUUAUUUCUGCGUAGUGAGUUAACUCAAGCUAUUGUCGGCUGAUUUGCCUUGAGGGAUUAUCGGGAAAACACAAUCCUUCAGGCUGAAUCUGGCUGGGUAUUUCACAUGGUUUAUUCAGGGUGAAAUAAUUCUUUAAUAGUUUUCAGACAGGUGAAGGCCGUCAUCCUUACUGGGAUGUGGUUGUUGUCUCGACGUUCAAGAUGAGAGCAUCUAUCUUCAAAUGAAUGUUGACUUGUAUAACAAGAUGAAUAUAUCCACGGGAAAGAACGAACAAAUUUAAAAACAAUGUGAACAACAAAACCUCCAAAGCUACAAAGACAUGAUUCUAAAACAGAGAAUACAGAUACUUGCAGCACAUUAAGACGGGAGUUUGACACCUUUGACAGACGAGAGAUGUUAAUGAAUAACUAAGGCAGAAAAUCGAAGCAAAAUAUACUUGAAAGCUGGAAUUCAAGGAAAAAUACACUAUGAUCUUCAAAGUCAAGUACCGAUAGACUUAAACGCGAAUGAUGAGAAGAAUAUUACAACUUUGAAAAAAAACCUUGAAAGGUAAGAAAAAGUUUAAAAAUUCAUGGUUUGCUGUUUGCUAUCAUCAGUAUUUCGAGCUGAAUGCUCAAACAUUAUGGAGGUUUUCUAGGAGUCUUUGUCGCUUGUCGAGGCAGGAAAAGUGCAGUUCCCGGACAGAAAAUUAUGUUUCAAAAUGCACCAGACAACCAACCAGAACUCUCUACAAUUUUGUUUGCAGAAGCAAAGAAAGAGUUCGAUAAUUUCAAACUGUUUGUAUAUGACAUCAUCAGUUGUCUACUUUCUUUUUUAUAAAUAUUUUCUUGCUUUGUUUUAAAGAAACAUUAGGAGAGGAGAAAGAAUCCAUAAAGAGUUUGAAGUUUACUUGAAGAACAACAUCAGAGAAGAGAUGUAACUAUGUAAGUCUUACGUUAUUGGUGACAAAAAAGAACUUCAACCUAAUUCGACCAGAUGUAUAUUUGUCACAUGCACAAAUUUCUGUUGGGUCAUGCUUCAUCGCAUUGGUGAUUUAAUUAAUUAUUUUAUUUCUGUUUCUUCAGGAUGGUGCUGACAUCUUAGACGAAGGACAAUACCGCUUAGAGGAUUAUUGACUGCACUCCAUUCAGUUAAAUCAUCGCCCGUAAGUACCCAUUAAAUUAAUACCCCUUGUUAUUUCUGCGUAGUGAGUUAACUCAAGCUAUUGUCGGCUGAUUUGCCUUGAGGGAUUAUCGGGAAAACACAAUGCUUCAGGCUGAAUCUGGCUGAGUAUUUCACAUGGUUUAUUCAAGGUGAAAUAAUUCUUUAGUACUUUUCAGACAGUUGAAGGCCGUCAUCCUUAUUGGGCUGUGGUUGUUGUCUCGACGUUCAAGAUGAGAGCAUCUAUCUUCAAAUGAAUGUUGACUUGUAUAACAAGAUGAAUAUAUCCACGGGAAAGAACGAACAAAUUUAAAAACAAUGUGAACAACAAAACCUCCAAAGCUACAAAGACAUGAUUCUAAAACAGAGAAUACAGAUACUUGCAGCACAUUAAGACUGGAGUUUGACACCUUUGACAGACGAGAGAUGUUAAUGAAUAACUAAGGCAGAAAAUCGAAGCAAAAUAUACUUGAAAGCUGGAAUUCAAGGAAAAAUACACUAUGAUCUUCAAAAUCAAGUACCGAUAGACUUAAACGAGAAUGAUGAGAAGAAUAUUACAACUUUGAAAAAAAACCUUGACAAGAUAAGAAAAAGUUUAAAAAUUCAUGGUUUGCUGUUUGCUAUCAUCAGUAUUUCGAGCUGAAUGCUCAAACAUUAUGGAGGUUUUCUAGGAGUCUUUGUCGCUUGUCGAGGCAGGAAAAGUGCAGUUCCCGGACAGAAAAUUUUGUUUCAAAAUGCACCAGACAACCAACCAGAACUCUCUACAAUUUUGUUUGCAGAAUGAAAGAAAGAGUUCGAUAAUUUCAAACUGUUUGUAUAUGACAUCAUCAGUUGUCUACUUUCUUUUUUAUAAAUAUUUUCUUGCUUUGUUUUAAAGAAACAUUAGGAGAGGAGAAAGAAUCCAUAAAGAGUUUGAAGUUUACUUGAAGAACAACAUCCGAGAAGAGAUGUAACUAUGUAAGUCAUACAUUAUUGGUGACAAAAAAGAACUUCACCCUAAUUCGACCAGAUGUAUAUUUGUCACAUACACAAAUUUCUGUAGGGUCAUGCUUCAUCGCAUUGGUGAUUUAAUUAAUUAUUUUAUUUCCGUUUCUUCAGGAUGGUGCUGACAUCUUAGACGAAGGACAAUACCGCUUAGAGGAUUAUUGACUGCACUCCAUUCAGUUAAAUCAUCGCCCGUAAGUACCCAUUAAAUUAAUACCCCUUGUUAUUUCUGCGUAGUGAGUUAACUCAAGCUAUUGUCGGCUGAUUUGCCUUGAGGGAUUAUCGGGAAAACACAAUGCUUCAGGCUGAAUCUGGCUGAGUAUUUCACAUGGUUUAUUCAAGGUGAAAUAAUUCUUUAAUACUUUUCAGACAGAUGAAGGCCGUCAUCCUUAUUGGGCUGUGGUUGUUGUUGUGUCGACGUUCAAGAUGAGAACAUCUAUCUUCAAAUGAAUGUUGACUUAUAUAACAAGAUGAAUAUAUCCACGGGAAAGAACGAACAAAUUUAAAAGCAUGUGAACAACAAAAACAUCCAAAGCUACAAAGACAUGAUUCUAAAACAGAGAAUACAGAUACUUGCAGCACAUUAAGACUGGAGUUUGACACCUUUGACAGACGAGAGAUGUUAAUGAAUAACUAAGGCAGAAAAUCGAAGCAAAAUAUACUUGAAAGCUGGAAUUCAAGGAAAAAUACACUAUGAUCUUCAAAAUCAAGUACCGAUAGACUUAAACGCGAAUGAUGAGAAGAAUAUUACAACUUUGAAAAAAAACCUUGACAAGGUAAGAAAAAGUUUAAAAAUUCAUGGUUUGCUGUUUGCUAUCAUCAGUAUUUCGAGCUGAAUGCUCAAACAUUAUGGAGGUUUUCUAGGAGUCUUUGUCGCUUGUCGAGGCAGGAAAAGUGCAGUUCCCGGACAGAAAAUUCUGUUUCAAAAUGCACCAGACAACCAACCAGAACUCUCUACAAUUUUGUUUGCAGAAGCAAAGAAAGAGUUCGAUAAUUUCAAACUGUUUGUAUAUGACAUCAUCAGUUGUCUACUUUCUUUUUUAUAAAUAUUUUCUUGCUUUGUUUUAAAGAAACAUUAGGAGAGGAGAAAGAAUCCAUAAAGAGUUUGAAGUUUACUUGAAGAACAACAUCCGAGAAGAGAUGUAACUAUGUAAGUCAUACAUUAUUGGUGACAAAAAAGAACUUCACCCUAAUUCGACCAGAUGUAUAUUUGUCACAUACACAAAUUUCUGUAGGGUCAUGCUUCAUCGCAUUGGUGAUUUAAUUAAUUAUUUUAUUUCCGUUUCUUCAGGAUGGUGCUGACAUCUUAGACGAAGGACAAUACCGCUUAGAGGAUUAUUGACUGCACUCGAUUCAGUUAAAUCAUCGCCCGUAAGUACCCAUUAAAUUAAUACCCCUUGUUAUUUCUGCGUAGUGAGUUAACUCAAGCUAUUGUCGGCUGAUUUGCCUUGAGGGAUUAUCGGGAAAACACAAUGCUUCAGGCUGAAUCUGGCUGGGUAUUUCACAUGGUUUAUUCAGGGUGAAAUAAUUCUUUAAUACUUUUCAGACAGGUGAAGGCCGUCAUCCUUACUGGGCUGUGGUUGUUGUCUCGACGUUCAAGAUGAGAGCAUCUAUCUUCAAAUGAAUGUUGACUUAUAUAACAAGAUGAAUAUAUCCACGGGAAAGAUCGAACAAAUUUAAAAACGAUGUGAACAACAAAAACCUCCAAAGCUACAAAGACAUGAUUCUAAAACAGAGAAUACAGAUACUUGCAACACAUUAAGAUUGAAGUUUGACACCUUUGACAUCCGAGAUAUGUUAAUGAAUAACUAACGCAGAAAAUCGAAGCAAAAUAUACUUGAAAGCUGGAAUUCAAGGAAAAAUACAGUAUGAUCUUCAAAAUCAAGUACCGAUAGACUUAAACGCGAAUGAUGACAAGAAUAUUACAACUUUGAAAAAAAACCUUGAUGAGGUAAGAAAAAGUUUAAAAAUUCAUGGUUUGCUGUUUGCUAUCAUCAGUAUUUCGAGCUGAAUGCUCAAACAUUAUGGAGGUUUUCUAGGAGUCUUUGUCGCUUGUCGAGGCAGGAAAAGUGCAGUUCCCAGACAGAAAAUUCUGUUUCAAAAUGCACCAGACAACCCACCAGAACUCUCUACAAUUUUGUUUGCAGAAGCAAGGAAAGAGUUCGAUAAUUUUUUCAAACAGUUUGUAUAUGACAUCAUCAGUUGUCUACUUUCUCACUUUUUUAUAAAUAUUUUCUUGCUUUGUUUUAAAGAAACAUUAGGAGAGGAGAAAGAAUCCAUAAAGAGUUUGAAGUUUACUUGAAGAACAACAUCCGAGAAGAGAUGUAACUAUGUAAGUCAUACAUUAUUGGUGACAAAAAAGAACUUCACCCUAAUUCGACCAGAUGUAUAUUUGUCACAUACACAAAUUUCUGUAGGGUCAUGCUUCAUCGCAUUGGUGAUUUAAUUAAUUAUUUUAUUUCUGUUUCUUCAGGAUGGUGCUGACAUCUUAGACGAAGGACAAUACCGCUUAGAGGAUUAUUGACUGCACUCGAUUCAGUUAAAUCAUCGCCCGUAAGUACCCAUUAAAUUAAUACCCCUUGUUAUUUCUGCGUAGUGAGUUAACUCAAGCUAUUGUCGGCUGAUUUGCCUUGAGGGAUUAUCGGGAAAACACAAUGCUUCAGGCUGAAUCUGGCUGGGUAUUUCACAUGGUUUAUUCAGGGUGAAAUAAUUUUUUAAUACUUUUCAGACAGGUGAAGGCCGUCAUCCUUACUGGGAUGUGGUUGUUGUCUCGACGUUCAAGAUGAGAGCAUCUAUCUUCAAAUGAAUGUUGACUUAUAUAACAAGAUGAAUAUAUCCACAGGAAAGAACAAACAUAUUUAAAAACAAUGUGAACAACAAAACCUCCAAAGCUACAAAGACAUGAUUCUAAAACAGAGAAUACAGAUACUUGCAGCACAUUAAGACUGGAGUUUGACACCUUUGACAGCCGAGAGAUGUUAAUGAAUAACUAAAGGCAGAAAAUCGAAGCAAAAUAUACUUGAAAGCUGGAAUUCAAGGAAAAAUACAGUAUGAUCUACAAAAUGAAGUACCCAUAGACUUAAACGCGAAUGAUUAGAAGUCUAUUACAACUUUGAAAAAAACCUUGGUGAGGUAAGAAAAAGUUUAAAAAUUCAUGGUUUGAUGUUUGUUAUCAUCAGUAUUUCGAGCUGAAUGCUCAAACAUUUUGGAGGUUUUCUAGGAGUCUUUGUCGCUUGUCGAGGCAGGAAAAGUGCAGUUCCCAGACAGAAAAUUCUGUUUGAAAAUGCGCCAGACAACCAACCAGAACUCUCUACAAUUUUGUUUGCAGAAGCAAGGAAAGAGUUUGAUAAUUUCAAACAGUUUGUAUAUGACAUCAUCAGUGGUCUAAUCUCUCUCUUUUUUAUAAAUAUUUUUUCUUGCUUUGUUUUAAAGAAACAUUAGGAGAGGAGAAAGAAUCCAUAAAGAGUUUGAAGUUUACUUGAAGAACAACAUCAGAGAAGAGAUGUAACUAUGUAAGUCGUACAUUAUUGGUGACAAAAAAGAACUUCACCCUAAUUCGACCAGAUGUAUAUUUGUCACAUACACAAAUUUCUGUAGGGUCAUGCUUCAUCGCAUUGGUGAUUUAAUUAAUUAUUUUAUUUCCGUUUCUUCAGGAUGGUGCUGACAUUUUAGACGAAGGACAAUACCGCUUAGAGGAUUAUUGACUGCACUCCAUUCAGUUAAAUCAUUGCCCGUAAGUACCCAUUCAAUUAAUACCUCUUGUUAUUUCUGCGUAGUGAGUUAACUCAAGCUAUUGUCGGCUGAUUUGCCUUGAGGGAUUAUCGGGAAAAUACAAUGCUUCAGGCUGAUUCUGGCUGGGUAUUUCACAUGGUUUAAUACUUUUCAGACAGGUGAAGGCCGACAUCUUUACUGAGCCAUGAUUGUUGUCUUGACGUUCAAGAGGAGAGAAUUUGCCUUCAAAAUCAUGUUGACUUUGGGGCGGACCAUUAGAAAAAUGGGUGGGGCAAAUAAAAUCCCGCAGGGGAAACAGAAAGAGAGAAAAUCGUACAGCAAGGACGUUUGAGGAACAAUUCGAGACUUUUCAAUUGGGAAAAUUCUAAGUUGAAAUAAAAAAGAAUCGUUCAGAGAGUUUUCAAUAAGGAAAAUUCUAAAGAGAAACCUCUAAAGCUACAAAGACGUUAUUCUAAAACAGAGAAUGCAGAUACUUGCAACACAUUAACACUGGAGUUUGAUACCUUUGACAGCCGAGAUAAGUCAAUGAAUAACUAAAGGAGAAACUGGAAGCGUUGGAUACUUGAAAUCUGGGAUGCAAGGAGAAAUUGAGUAUGAGCUACAAAAUCAAGAACUGAAGUCAAGACUUAAAGGGGAAUGACGACAGGAAUAUUACUUUGAACAAGACCAUGUUGAUGAGGUAAGAAAAAGUUAAAAAAAAAUUCGUAGUAUGUUAUCGAGGUUUACUAGGGGUUUUUGUCGUUUGGCGAGGCAGGAAAACUGGAGUAUCCAGAACAAAAUCGUCAUUAAGAAUGCCGGAGACAACAAACCACAUUUUAAUUCCCAGUAUCAGUGAUAUUUCUUUAGGAUAUUAAAGAUUGAAGAACUUUCUUCCGUCUUAUGUUGCUCAUUGAUAAUUUGUUUCAAAAUCUGAGAAGCAUUAUGGUACGAUCAGAUAAUUGUCAUUGGCUUGGUGUCAGGCCAACGAUGUUGACUUCCUUCGUGGUUUACUCUGACAUUCAUAUAAAUUUGAAAUGUUCUUUCAGUAUUCAUGCUAUUCAUUAUUUGUAUGUUAAAUCGAUAUGUCAAUGGUGCUAAUGUGAGGAAACAAACGUACAACUUUCUGAAUUAGAGGUGAGUUAUUGUUAAACUAUUCAACUUGGACAACAUUUAUCACUAUGCAAGUUGAAAGCACCUUAUUUCUGCAGGAAAUGAUUCUGUGAAUAUUUUCUUGUUGUGUUUAAAAGAAACCUUAGGAGAGGAAACAAGACGCUGUGAAGAGUUUAAAUUUUACUUGAAGAACGAAAUCAGAGAAUCGAUGUAAGACAUACAGGAGUAGUGACAAAAAUUAACUUCAAUUUAAUUCCAUUACGAAGGAUUUUUUAUCAGAUGCGCGAAUUUUCUGCACGGUCAUCAUUGCGUUUGUGUUUUUAAUUAAUUCUUUUCCUUCCAUUUCUUGAGGAUGGUGCUAACAUCUUACACGAAUGACAAUACCGCUGAGAGGAUUCACUGCACUUAAUUCAGCAAUAUCAACGCCCGUAAGUACUCAUUAAUACUUCAUGUUAUUCAUGUAUAGUCAGUUAACUCAAGCUACUAUUGCCUGAUUUGCCUUCAGAAAUUCUUGGGAAAUUCUUCAUGGUUUAUUCAGGGUGAAAUAAUUUUUUUUGAUACUUUACUUUUCAGACAGGUGAAGGCCGACAUCUUUAUUGGGCUGUGGUUGUCUCGAUGUUCAAGAUGAGGGCAAUCUCGCCUUCAAAUGAAUGUUGACUUAUAUAACAAGAUGAAAACUUCAACAACAAAGAAACUUUAAACAAUAUGAGCAAGAUCUCCUCUUAAGCUACAAGGACAGGAUGUUAAAGUAGAGAAUGCAGAUACUUCUAAUACCUUACGGCCGGAGUUUGACACCUUUUGACAGCCGAGAUGAGUUAAUGAGUGACCAAAAGGAGAAAUUUGAAGCAUUAAAUACUUGAAAACUGGAAUUCAAGGAGAAAUACAGUUUGAUCAACAAAAUCAAGAACUGAAGUCAAUACUUAAAGGGGAAUGAUGUGAAGAAUAUUAUAACUUUGAAAAAACCUUGAUGAAGUGAGGUAAGAAAAAGUUAAAAAAUUCAUGGUUUGCUGUUUGCUAUCAUCAGUAUUUCGAGCUGAAUGCUCAAACAUUAUCGAGGUUUUCUAGGAGUCUUUGUCGCUUGUCGAGGCAGGAAAAGUGCAGUUCCCGGACAGAAAAUUCUGUUUCAAAAUGCACCAGACAACCAACCAGAACUCUCUGCAAUUUUGUUUGCAGAAGCAAGGAAAGAGUUUGAUAAUUUCAAACAGUUUGUAUAUGACAUGUCGUCUAAUUUCUCUCUUUCGAUACACCAAAUAAAACCUAAUUGCUAAUUAUAGGUUUUGUGUCAAAAGAGAGAAAUUAUACGAUAUAUGUCAAUUUACAAACUGUAUGAAGCCACAAUUCUAAGUAUUUCAAUUAUAUUUCUUGUAUUAGAAAAUGUCUGGAUAGUACAUGUCAAUGGUGCUGGUGUGCAACCUGCAACUUUCUCAAUUAGAGGUGAGUUAUCAUUACACAUACUACUCAAUUUGGACAACAUUUAUCACUAUCUGCAAGUUGAAAGAGCUUUAUUUCUGCAGGAAAUGAUUCUAUCAUUAUUUUCUUCCUUUGUUUUAAAGAAACAUCAGGAGAGGAGAAAGAAUCCAUAAAGAGUUUGAAGUUUACUUGAAGAACAACAUCAGAGAAGAGAUGUAACUAUGUAAGUCGUACAUUAUUGGUGACAAAAAAGAACUUCACUCUAAUUCGACCAGAUGGAUUUUUGUCACAUAAACAAAUUUCUGUAGGGUCAUGCAUCAUCGCCUUGGUGAUUUAAUUGAUUAUUUUCCUUCCAUUUCUUAUUGAUUAUCCAUUGAUUAUCGGGAAAACGCAAUGCUUCAGGGUGAUUCUUGCUGGGUAUUCCGCAUGGUUUAUUCAGGGUGAAAUAAUUCUUUAAUACUUUACUUUCCAGACAGGUGAAGGCCGACAUCUUUACUGGCCUAUGGUUGUUGUCUCGACAUUCAAGAUGAGAGCAUCCACCUUCAAAUGAAUGUGACUUAUAUAACAAGGAUGAAAACAUCAACGGGAAUUAAAAACAAUGUGAACAACAGAAACCUCCUCUAAAGCUACAAAGACAGGAUGUUAAUACAGAUACUUGCAACACAUUAAGACUGGAGUUUGACACCUUUUGACAGCCGAGAUAGGUUAAUGAGUGACCGAAGGGAGAAACCGCACGCAUUAAAUACUUCAAGUGAAAACUGGAAUGCAAGGAGAAAUACAGUUUGAUAUUCAAAAUCAAGAACUGAAGUCAAGACUUACAGGGGAAUGAUGACAAGAAUGUUACAACUUUGAAAAAGACCUUGAUGAGGUGAAAAAAAGUUUAUUAAUUCAUGGUUUGGUGUUUCCUAUCAUUGGAGCUGUAUUCUUAUGCAAACAUUAUGGAGGUUUGCUAGGGGUCUUUCUCGCUUGGCGAAUGGUGAGGCAGGAAAACUGUAGUACCCAGAGACAAAAUCCUGUUUUAAAGUGCAGGAGACAACCAACCAUAACUCUACUGAGCUUCAAUUAUAUUUCUUGUAUUAGAAAACGUCUGGAUAGUACAUGUCAAAUGGUGCUAGUGUGCAACCUGCAACUUUCUGAAGGUGAGUUAUCAUCAAACUAUUCAACUUGGACAACAUUUAUCACUAUCUGCAAGUUGAAAGCACUUUAUUUCUGCAGGAAAUGACUCUGUAAAUAUUUUCUUGUUUUGUUUAAAAGAAACAUUAGGAGAGGAAACAAGACACUGUGAAUUAAAUUUUACUUGAAGAACGACAUCAGAGAAUCGGUUCGAAGGAUUUUUUAUCAGAUGCGCGAAUUUCAGGACAGUUAUCAUUGCCUUGGUGUUUUUAAUGAAUUAUUUUCCUUCCAUUUCUUCAGGAUGGCAUUAACAUUAUAGACGAAGGACAAUUCCGCUGAGAGGAUUCACUGCACUCUAUGAUUCAGCAAUAUCAAUGCCCGUAAGUACUCAUUAAUACUUCAUGUUAUUCAUGUAUAGUCAGUUAACUCAAGCUAUUAUUGCCUGAUUUUGCCUUCUUGGGAAAUUCUUCAUGGUUUAUUCAGGGUGAAAUAAUUCUUUAAUACUUUACUUUUCAGACAGGUGAAGGCCGACAUCUUUACUGGGCUGUGGUUGUUGUCUCGACGUUCAAGAUGAGAGCAUCUACCUUCAAAUGAAUGUUGACUUAUAUAACAAGAUGAAAACUUCAACAACCAAAAAACGAAGAAACUUUAAAACAAUAUGAGGAAAAUUGACCUCAUCUUAAGCUACAAGGACAGGUGUUAAAGUAGAGAAUGCAGAUACUUCCAAUACCUUACGGCCGGAGUUUGACGCCUUUGACAGCCGAGAUAAGUUAAUGAGUGACCAAUGGGAGAAACUGGAUACAUUAAAUACUUGAAAACUGGAAUGCAAGGAGAAAUACAGUAUGAUCUACAAAAUCAAGAACUGCAAGACUAUUACAACUUUGAAAAAACCUUGAUGAAGUAAGGUAAGAAAAAGUUUAAAAAUUCAUGGUUUGGUGUUUGCUAUCAUCGGGACUUGGUGCUGAAUCCUCAAACUUUAUGGAGGGUUCUAGAGGUCUUUCUCGCUUGGCGAAGCAGGAAAACUGUAGUACCUGGACAGAAAAUUGUUUCAAAAUGCACCAGACAACCAACCACAACUAUUGACAAUUUUGUUCUCUGAAACAAGGAAAGAGUUAUAUAAUUUCAAACAGUUCGUAUAUAUGACAUGUUGUCUAAUUUCGCUCUUUCGACACACCAAAUGAAACCGAAUUGCUAAUUGUAGGUUUUGUUUUGUGUGUCAAAAGAGAGGAAUUAUACGAUAUGUCACUUACAAACUGUAUCAAGCCACAAUCUAAGUAUUUGAAUCAUAUUUCUUGUACUAGAGAAUGUCUGGAUAGUACAUGUCAAUACUGUUGUAGAACCUGGAACUUUCUGAAUUAGAUGUGAGUUAUCGUUAAACUAUUAACUGGAAGCAUUAAAUAUUUGAAAACUGGAACGCAAGGAGGAAUACAGUUUCAUCUACGAAAUCGAGAACUGAAGUCAAGAUUUACAGGGGAAUGAUGACAAGAAUAUUACAACUUUGAAAAAGACCUUGAUGAGGUAAGAAAAAGUUUAAGAAUUCAUGGUUUGGUGUUUGCUAUCAUCAGUAGUAGUUGGAGCUGUAUUCUCAUGCAAAUGUUGUGGAGGUUUGCUGGGGAUCUGUCUCGCUUGGCGAGGAAGAAAAAGUGUAGUACGCGGAGACAAAAUGCUGUUUUAAAGUGCAGGAGACAACCAACCACAACUCUACUUCAAUUAUAUUUCUUGUACUAGAAAAUGUCUGGAUAUUGCAAGUCCAUGGUGCUGUGUGCCACGUACAACUUUCUGAAUUAGAGGUGAGUUAUCGUUAAACUAUUCAACUUGGACAACAUUUAUCACUAUCUGCAAGUUGAAAGCACUUUAUUUCUGCAGGAAAUGAUUCUAUAAAUAUUUUCUUGCUUUGUUUAAAAGAAACAUUAGGAGACGAAAGAAGUCUCCAUAAAGAGUUUAAAGUUUACUUGAAGGACAACAUCAUUGAAGAGAUGUAAGUCGUACAUUAUUGGUGACAAAAAUGAACUUCAACCUAAUUUGACCAGAAGGUUUUUUGUCACAUACACGAAUUUCUGCAUAUUUUUCUUCCAUUUCUUCAGGAUGGUGGCUAACAUCUCAGACGAAGGACAAUCCCGCUGAAAGGAUUCCCUGCAGUCUAUUCGGUUAAAUCAACGCCUGUAAGUAUCCAUUAAUACAUCCAAUUAUCUCUCUAAUGUGCAUUCAGCACAGUACGUGAACGCUGUCUCGCUUGUCACUCGUCGUGAACAUUUGUAUUCUUGAACUGAAAAAUCAAGAAUAAAGAUGGCGAACUGACGCUAAAUUAACCUGAAGUGGGACCUCACUUUGUGGCAUAGUACAGCAAGAUAUUUGUUGUCUUGAGCAGAAUUUGCUCUACCCAUUGAAGUAUCGAGUCAACGGGGAUCCAAUAUCAUUCUACAUUAUGGUUGAGUUUGUUUUGACACUAUGGGUGUGUCAAUCUGUGUGUUGAUUUGUUGUAUCUUUGUAUUUUUAGUGGUUUGCUAGCUCGCCUAUUGUGUGGUCAGACAAGAGGACGGUGGCCUAUCUUGUUGUAUUUAUUGUUCAUACAUUCUGUUCUACUUGUCUGUUUGUAUUCUCUAUACGCAUGCAGCUUAAUUUGCAACAUACAAUGACAAAGACAUUGAAUGUCAAAAUUGUUAAUUAAUAAGCGAGCAAAUUAUUGUUAUUUAAAUGACUUAAUGUGUAAUAAAUUAUUCGCAC